GGAGCAGGGAGAGAGGGAGAUUGUCCAGAGAGCGCUGGGGGAGGACUGACCACUGCAAGGCUUUGGGAGGCACGAGAGAAAAGUGCUGAGCUCUGCUGGUGGGGCACAGGGAUGGGGCAGCCACAGCUCCUCUGGGCACCCUGGGCCUCACCACCUUCACAAGGAGAAAUUUCCAACCUUGCCGUGUUCUUGGCCAUAGCUGCAGCAGCUGAAGACAUUCCAGAUGGUGCAGAAAUUCAAAAUGUAGAGCUGGGAGUUGUUCCCUGACCCCCCAGCACGGGCACACCCGCCAGGGUCUGAGGAAUUCCAGAUCAAAGUCUCAAGGCCUGAAGUGUCAGAGGUGCUGCUGGGUUUUGGGACAGCAGCUCAGCUCUGAUCCCGUUCGGGCUGGACCCACCCCAGCUCCCCGACAUCCCAAAGUCUCUUCCACACUUUUCCUAAAUAGCUGCCAAAGCGUUUUGCCCCCUUCCCUCUCGCAGCAGGGAAGAAAUCCCUUUGCCCCCAGUCUGGAAAUGUGCCUUCCUGUCCCUCCCUUCCCUGCCUUCCUGGGGAGCCGCCGUGGAUGCCGUGCUGCCGGCUUGCCUGUCUGAGCUGCUCAGUUAAGAAUAAUAAACAAAUUCCUAAAUGGAAGGAUAUUCUUGAAACCUGCCUUGUGCUGCCUGCCAGGGAAUGCGGAACCCACCUCCUGUCCCCCUGCAGCCCCGGCUCCAGGCUCUCCUGAAACCUGAGCUGCGGAGCUGCUCCGUGGCCUCUGCGUGCACCUUCCCCCCUGACCCCGUCUGGAUUCUCCUGUCCUUUUCCUGACACG